rnacentral:tRNA from 1 species
GAGGAGGUGGCCGAGUGGUUAAGGCGAUGGACUGCUAAUUCAUUGUGCUCUUCGCGCGUGGGUUCGAAUCCCAUCCUCGUCG